rnacentral:lncRNA from 1 species
GGCGGGGUUGUUUGCACGGCAAAAUGCGAGUGGGCGCUUCCCGCCGCUGAGUUGGAGACAGAUCAGCCAUCCUCGUGGAGCCGCUCAGGCCCGCUUUUCCAGAGAGAGGCGGCAUUUCUCCCGUCCUGAGGAGGGUGACGCGACAGCACACCACAUGUAUUCAAGAGCUGGAGGAGGCCAGAAGCUGGGGUUAAAUCUCUUGAAACUGGAGUUACAGGUGCUGGGAACUGAACCCAGGUCCUCUGUAAGAGCAACAAAGUGCCCUUAACCAAUGAAUCACCCUUCUAAUCCUAAAUCUCCACAGUUGACGGUCUUCUCUCCUCUCACCUGACUUGAAUAAAAUGCUUCCUGCAGUUCCAGGCACAGCUGUUCGACUCUCCUGUGCCAAAUGUAAAAGAGUUUUUCAGGAGGGACAGACAGCUUUUCAGAGGAAAGGGUCUGCUGAGCUUUUCUGCUCAAGACUAUGCAUUGAUGGGUACCCGUCACCUGCUGUGUCUCCAGCUCCUCUCAAAAGGAUGUGCUUAAAUUGCUCAAGAGACAUUUUAAGUCUAAAGGAUAUGAAGAGUGUCCAGUUGGAGGAUAGUAGUUGUGACAAAAACUUUUGUAGCCAAUCUUGUCUUACAUCAUAUG